CUGUACCGUGACUAGUGGCACCGUGGCUAGCUGCACUGUGGGUAGCUGCACCGUGGCUAGUGGCACCGUGGCUAGCUGCAUCUUGGCUAGCUGCACCGUGGCCUGCAGUGCGGGCAUGAGGCUCACACUGCCAAUGGCCGUAUGUUCUGCUUCCACACUGUUGUCCUUGUCCCCUGCAGGUGUCGGCACAUCUGAAGCUUCAGGAGAAGGAUGAAGGCAGAAGGGAAAUGGUCAAGGAGAUACUGACAGCGCUGGGCUUGCUGUCUUGCGCCAACACGCGGACCGGGAGCCUGUCAGGUGGUCAGCGCAAGCGCCUGGCCAUCGCGCUGGAGCUGGUGAACAACCCUCCAGUCAUGUUCUUCGAUGAGCCCACCAGCGGCCUGGACAGCGCCUCCUGCUUCCAGGUGGUCUCGCUGAUGAAAGGGCUCGCUCAAGGGGGUCGCUCCAUCAUUUGCACCAUCCACCAGCCCAGCGCCAAACUCUUCGAGCUGUUCGACAAGCUUUACGUCCUGAGUCAAGGACAAUGUGUGUACCGGGGAAAAGUCUGCAAUCUUGUGCCAUAUUUGAGGGAUUUGGGUCUGAACUGCCCAACCUACCACAACCCAGCAGAUUUUGGUAAGCGGAGUCCUGAGCAGCUCGGGGGACAGAAAGGGGAUUUUCCUCCUCUGUGGGUCUCACUUUUAGCUGACGCCCCCAACUCAGAAACCACUUGACUACCACAAAUAGCUCAAGUGUCAUCCAGUUAUAAAACGUUUAAAGAAC
rnacentral:sRNA from 1 species